rnacentral:piRNA from 1 species
AAGAAGGUUGAGAAGUCUGUUAAU